rnacentral:rRNA from 1 species
UACGUAGGGUGCGAGCGUUGUCCGGAAUUACUGGGCGUAAAGAGCUUGUAGGUGGUUUGUCGCGUUGUUCGUGAAAUCUCACGGCUCAACUGUGAGCGUGCGGGCGAUACGGGCAGACUAGAGUACUGCAGGGGAGACUGGAAUUCCUGGUGUAGCGGUGAAAUGCGCAGAUAUCAGGAGGAACACCGGUGGCGAAGGCGGGUCUCUGGGCCGAUACUGACACUGAGGAGCGAAAGCGUGGGGAGCGAACAGG